CUGAACCGCGCCCCGUCUCCUUUCUCAUUGGCGCUCGCAGCGGAUUCCUCGCCUUUGCGUCCCGCCCCCUUCCUGCUCCCGGCUUCCUGUGGCGUCUUCCGGAUAGCCCCACACCCCCGGCGCGGGAGAGGCUCGUGGAGGGAGAUGAUUGGAGGACCAAGACCCCCUUUCCUGAAUGGCGACUGGAACCCAGACCUUUCAGAACUACUUCUUCUGUGAUGUCUGUUCAGAUGGUGGACUUCCACGAAUGGGAAACAAGCUGCCUUUGCACCUGAACGACCGAGGAACCUGCUGCCAGCGCUCAGCUGUGCCUGUGCAACAGGCUCUGGAUUUGCAGAGAGGUGCGUCGUGGGGGAUGCUACACAAUAACUGGCCA
rnacentral:lncRNA from 1 species